rnacentral:rRNA from 1 species
AUUGAACGCUGGCGGCAGGCCUAACACAUGCAAGUCGAGCGGAUGAAGGGAGCUUGCUCCUGGAUUCAGCGGCGGACGGGUGAGUAAUGCCUAGGAAUCUGCCUGGUAGUGGGGGAUAACGUCCGGAAACGGGCGCUAAUACCGCAUACGUCCUGAGGGAGAAAGUGGGGGAUCUUCGGACCUCACGCUAUCAGAUGAGCCUAGGUCGGAUUAGCUAGUUGGUGGGGUAAAGGCCUACCAAGGCGACGAUCCGUAACUGGUCUGAGAGGAUGAUCAGUCACACUGGAACUGAGACACGGUCCAGACUCCUACGGGGGGCAGCAGUGGGGAAUAUUGGACAAUGGGCGAAAGCCUGAUCCAGCCAUGCCGCGUGUGUGAAGAAGGUCUCCGGAUUGUAAAGCACUUUAAGUUGGGAGGAAGGGCAGUAAGUUAAUACCUUGCUGUUUUGACGUUACCAACAGAAUAAGCACCGGCUAACUUCGUG